rnacentral:rRNA from 1 species
GACGAACGCUGGCGGCGUGCUUAACACAUGCAAGUCGAACGGAAAGGCCCUGCUGUUGUGGGGUGCUCGAGUGGCGAACGGGUGAGUAACACGUGAGUAACCUGCCCUUGACUUUGGGAUAACUUCAGGAAACUGGGGCUAAUACCGGAUAGGAGCUCCUGCUGCAUGGUGGGGGUUGGAAAGUUUCGGCGGUUGGGGAUGGACUCGCGGCUUAUCAGCUUGUUGGUGGGGUAGUGGCUUACCAAGGCUUUGCCGGGUAGCCGGCCUGAGAGGGUGACCGGCCACGUUGGGCCUGAGCUGCGGCCCAGACUCCUCCGGGACGCAGCAGUGGGGAAGAUUGCACUAUGGGAGGAAGCCUGAUGCAGCAACGCCGCGUGCGGGAUGACGGCCUUCGGGUUGUAAACCGCUUUCGCCUGUGCCGAAGAGUGAGUGACGGUAAUGGGUAAAGAAGCACCGGCUAACUACGUG